rnacentral:lncRNA from 1 species
GGGAUUUGGUAUCUGGUAAGAAGGCUCUUCUCCAAUUCAGUAGUUUCAUUAGGUUCAAAUUCUACAAUAGUCUUAGAAGUAGAAUCCCAACGCUUAGCUGUAGUUAGUAGCUGUUGCCGUGCAUGCAUCAGGUAUUCAAGAUCUUCAGUUGAAGCAGCAUCAAUCAUUACUCGUUGCAUGAGGACUGGUUCCAAUCCAAAAUCAAACACAACAGUUUGGCGAAAAGUUCCAAAGAUUUCUGUGUUAAAAGCUAUACUGACUUUGUAUAUAUAGUGAUCUAUUCCAUUCUGGACCAUCUUUCCUCCUAUCCACUCCUGACAGUUUUCUGGAACUUCUUGUGAUACCUGGGUAGUGCUGUCUCCAGCAGAUAUUGCAAUGAUACUGAAAUGUGGACGAUGGGCAUCAUAAAGCAAUGCCACUCGAUACAGCAUUCUUGCAGGCUUACAGGUGAGAGCAAACGUCCAAGUUUGAUGAGACUUCUUGGUGGUGACAGUUACUGAUAGCUCAGGAUUAUGUUCUACUCUCACUCCUUCUAUACUUUCACUAAGCACUUUCUCAGGAGAUAACGAAUUCAUCCAUUUCUCAAUCAAGGUUUCCAUAUAACUGCCCGAACAUUGUUUGUUUUCCUUCUGCUGUUUUAAUCUGAUCAAGCGGGAAGCAUAUCGUUUUUGCCAUUCUGUUAGCUCUUCCUGGGAAUGUGCUGAAGUACACUGUGCACCGUACCUGCAGAUCCCUUGCUCUAAAAAUCUUUUACAUAGUGUAUAUUCUUCACUGCUUGUGACUCCCCUGGGUGGAGGACGGAACUGCCAGCCAUCCCGGGACCCUUCUUCUAAAUCUUCUACAUGAUAUCCUGAUGGAACUUUAUCAGCUGCCUCUGUUUCAGCAAGAAGUGUUUUCAGUCGUGUCAGAUCUUUAGUUACCAUCCCGUUCAGUGAUUCACCCAUCAGUGAUUUGGAAAGAACAUUAGACACAAUUUGCAGCUUCCCUUUAAGAUGCAUGCAGCAGAGCACUGCACGGAAAGAUCCAUCUCCCUUGGCCAGCCCCUCUCCCAGCACUGUCAUUACUUUCUACGCCAUCUUGGAUCCACUUGUCAACGUCCCCACAAAGCAUUGUGGGAAAGCCCUCCCCCGCCCUCCUCCCGGCCCGGCGGGCAGCGGGGGAAGGCGGAGGGCGGCCGGGCGGGCUCGGCCGGGCCGGGGUGAGGCGGGCCGGGUUUGGUACCGAGGCUGUCCGCCGCACCUCGGGGACACGGGCUGGGGGCGGGCGGCGGGUGUGAGAGCUGUGGCCGCGGCUCUGCCCUCCCUUCUGACCGCUGUGCGAGGGGGCACGGCCGGGCGGAUGGGGGCCGGCAGGCGCUUUCUUCUAUUUUUUGGGGGGUUGUUUUUCUUGUUUUGGUUUGUUUUCUGGCCGGGGUUGGGAGCGUUGUUUUUGCCCCCUCCCGUUUCCCGGGAAUCGUGUCGCUGCCUCCACACGCUCGCAGCAGAGCUGCCAAGGCCGACAGGUCCCGGCGGGGCGGCCCUCAGGUGCCCGCCUGCGCGCGGAGAGCUGCGCGCCCGCCCGGCGGAGCCCCCCGAGCCGAGCAGGUUGGGCCUUCCCUUCUCUUUCCUUUGUUUGUUUACAGCUAUCGCUCUUAAACGUGUGAAAAACUGGAUCCCUGCGGAAGGGCUGCGGUUUAGAUGACGGAACACCUCACGCGUUUGAGAAACUCCAUCUCGUUUUGCUGAAGGACCGCCGGUAACGCGUUGCUGGCUGGGCACGAAUCCCAAAAACUGCUUUGCAAAACACGUUUGGCCAUCGGUGCUUUCAAUGCCGAGGCUGGUUUGCAACGUUUUUUUCUGGCCCCGCACAGCUCUGUUCUCCUCCUGAGCUGUGAUGGGAGAGCGGUUGCUCCAGCACCUUCCUUAUGUUUAUCAGCAGGAUUCCAGUUGUUGUUUGUUGGUUGUUGUUUUUUUGUUUUUUUUUUAACUUUUCUACUUUAAUUAAAGUAAUUGUAAGAUUUACAUCAUGUGAGUAUUGGAUUUUCCUAAAUACAUUUAUAUUUAAAUCUGUGCUUAACGCCUCCUAACUCUUUGAAGAGUAACCACCAGCUGAGUCUGUGAUGCACUGCCACUGCAAGAAGGUACUUGUGCCCAGGAAUACUUUCAAUAUUCAUCAGUAACAUGUUUAUAAGGAGAGCUCCUUGCAAAAAUGAAAAUACAAAAGGAAAUACAUUUGAAGAAGAAAUCUUUUGCAUUUGCAGCCCCAGACUUAGGUCAGUCCGCUUUUAAGUUGACUUUACAGGUCUGGUGGGGGCCAUUCCAGUGCCCCUGGAGGCCCAUUCAGGAGGGGAGUGCGGUUGGGCCCGGCCUCAGCCCAGGGGCCGCCAUUUCAGGAGGACAGAAGCAGUCCUACAGAAGCUGCCCUAGGCCAUGCUGCUGCUCUGGGGCUGCAUGCCUCACACACGGUCCCCAGUGAGCCUGCCUGGCAUGCUGGGAGGUAGGUUUUUUCCCAUGGGCUCUGCAGAGGCCAGGCAGUGCCCUGCAGCAAUGAAGACAGCAGUUACGGACAAACAGAUAAAGGUGAAAACAUAUUUAGGACCGAAAUAACGUUGUCUAGGCUGCUGCAAUGCAAUUAGGCCUUUUAUUUUGGAGGAUGGUUGUGUUCAGUUCCUGAGCUUUUAUAUUAUGGAUGAAUUUUUCCAUAGGGAUAUGCAAAGAAUAUUUCAUUAUUUUUUUAAUCAGAAAUAGAAUAACUUAUGUCAGUAUGUAAAAAAAAAUGCAUAUAUAUCCUCUGGGGUGAGGUAAAGAGUUGCUGGCUUUAUGUUUCACAUAAGCUGUCCUUAACUUUUGAAUCCCUUUCUUCUGGAAGGAUUUCUUUAUACUGCAGUAGGAAAAAAUUGUGUAGCUAGUGAGUUAGAGGGAGAAGGAUUUGUUCAGCAACUUAUGCUCUUUUUACCGCUUUGACUUAAAUUAAACUUCUUAGCCCUUGUAUGAAACAGGUUUUACUCUAUUUUGUGAACUAGUUAAUUGUAUUGCAGAAGCCCUGCGUGCACAGAGGCUGAGCUGAGAAGCCAGGUCUUCACUGAGUGUGGGCUAGGCAGAAACAGAUGUUAUGUGCUGACUACUCACUCACGUUUCCAGAACUGCCCAGACUUCUCAAGUUCCUGGAACCCCCAUGUGCUAUGCUCACCAAGGGGAUUUCAUGACGAGAGCAUCAUAGUACUUCUGUUGAGGAAUGUGAGUUUUUUGUACUGGAUGCAUCAUCUCUUCCUGCUGCCCAGGGAGAUGAGGAACAGUGGGUUACAUUGAGUCUGAGAGCAGAAGAAAAGCAACAGUAGCAGUUGGAAAUGUCAGAAGUGCCACAGUCACAAUGGGGAGGCAUGAGAGGGACUACAACAAUGAACCUCUGCUGAGCAUCAUGAGACUUGACAGGACUCAGAUCCUCAGAAGUGCAACAAGUGAUAGUUGUAGAGACUAAUUAUAAUGCUGAGAUUUAUAAUUAAAAAAAACUCCAGCAAUAUCAUGUUCAGCUAUAUUUUUAAUUAUAUCUUUUACACAUUUUAUGACUUCAGAAUCUUUUCAGGUCUGAAAACUACAGCUUCUUGCUGGAAAUUCAGAUGGCUCAACCUCCUGAAGAAUGUAACUGCAAGGAAGCCCUGAACACAAGCUAGGAGACAUGCCAAGGACCUUGGAGAAUCUAGGCUCUUUGCCAAAAAGCAUGAGUUUGAAAACCUGAGGCCACUUAGGACUACUAGGCGCCCUGCCAUGAAGCUGAGAUCUGAGCAGAGUUCUGAAAGGUGUGGCACAAAUUCUGGAAGAGUUGGAACCCUCACUUCCUUCAGGGCUAAUGGAAAGCUGGUAGCCAAAAAGCCCUAGAGCCCUGGCUCUCCCAUGAGUUGCACACUCAGUUUAGUUUCUACGUUUUCAAAACUAAUUAUUACAAACUUACUGCUGCUUUUUUCCCCCCCCCCUCUUUCUUCUCAGACUUUUCCUUUCACAAGACAUUCAGAAAACACAUUUCCAUUCUAUGAUAAAGUUCACUCUGUUUUCUCAGAAAUGGCUUUUCUCAGAUUCCAAUAGAGAAAACCCAGUUUUCCAUCAGCUUCACUUGUGAUGUGUUCUGAAGGUAGUCAGGAAACCCCAUUAUAAUUAACAUGGGCAAUUAGUAAGCACAAUUACAUACAGCACUGAACUGUCUCACAGACCCUGCAGCAUAACAUGCCAGUAGAUCUCUUUCACCUCUAGAAAGUGAAACAGAUCUUUCUCAAUAGAAGCUUCAGACUGAUUGCAAUAAUAGAAGUAAUGUUCCAAGGCUUAGCACACAAGAUCUUUGUAAUUUUUAACUCUCUCAGAAGCAGCAGUCAUGGGAAACUAACAGAAGUGAAGUGGUUUACCUUCUGCCACAAACAAGUCAGUGGUAGACCUGAGGUUAGAUAGCAACAAUAAUUCUUCAUCUUAUUAAACAACAAAGCAAACUUUCCAGGCUGAUCACCAGACUGAGGAGUAGCAAGAUCUGAUUUUGCAGCAUGAAAAUUCCCCUGGAAUUCCUCCAGUGUCCUCCAACAUACAAAUGAUCUCAACUUUAAUCUUACUACAUAAUUAUCCAAAGGUAAUAUUUCGUCAACUCCUUUAACACAUGUAAUUUCUAAAGUAAGGAUAUUCCAGCUAAUUCUUGCUCAUUUUUAAUUUGAGCCACAAAAGGAGAGCAUUAAGUAGCGAACAGCACUAAGGGGAUGUUGAAAGUACACAGCAGAUAGAGAAACUACAAAGUUCAGAUCAAUGUAAUCGUUUAAUCCCAUACUGUCAAGAUCAAACAUCUCCAGUGCAUUUCUUAAGAAGCAGGCAUGCCUUGCUGUUGACCUUUGACGUAACUUCAUACUAUUAGCAUAUCACCUCAGUGCAUGCUACUGUAAAACACUACGUUUUUAACUUUAUUUACGGUAUGUCCUCUCAAUCAUAGCCUCAGAAAUAUUCCUUUAAUGAAAUAACCAUAGAAUCAUGAAUUAUGGAGAUAAAAGCAUAAAUGGGAGAGAAUAAAUCACAAGACUACCAUUAUACAGGCAAUACAGUUUUAUUAUGUUCUUUCACCAAUUGUAGCAAAAAUGUUUAACAACUGAAUGAAUAAUCAAGGGAACUCAACUGUCAACAGGAAUUUCAGAAUUAUGUUCUAAAUUUUAGACCAGGAAGCCCUGAUGGGGAGAAAAAAAAACAUAUACACACUGUAAUAAUAGUCUCUAUUAUGAAGAUUUAAUGCCUUCUUUAAAAGCACUGAGAUUAUUGAGGCACCUUACUGUAGGUUAUGUAUCAUCUCCUCUUUGGCAAUGAGAUGUGUGGUUUUGUUAACUAGGGCCAUUAGUGAGUUCAGCUUGUGAGACCAGUCAUUCAGUAUAUUGUUUGGAUCCUUAGGCCUCUGGAAAUUGAUAAUUCCUGCCAGCCUGUCUACUUUAGCAAAGAUGGUCUUGUUAACUACUAGGUUAGACAGGAACUCCUCCGAUUCCUGCAAAGACAAACAGUACUAAGUCAAGGAAAUAGCAUUUUUAUCUUCAAAGCAUCAGAAGUCCACCCAAACAGCAUUAAAGCACAAAGAAGCUAACAGAAAUAAUCCAGCUUUAAUAACACUGUAUUUAAAAACAGCAUAAUACUUUAAUAUUACACAUUGGUGUAAUAUUACACCAACAGACUUCUACACUUCAGAGUACCUGGCUACACAGAUAUCAGACUGCAUUUUCUGACAAGCAAGACGUAGGAAAAUCCCUGUGAAUUAAGGAUGAGAAACCCUGUAUCAUCAGUCAGAUUUCCUCACUCAAUGACAAGAGCUUUUUCCACAGUGAAAUACAGGACAAGGAGCUCCAGCACUGAAAUAUGACCCCGAGCACAAACCCAUUUUCACUAUCAGCUUUUGCCUUAUGGGCACUUGCAUUGUGACAGCCAGUUCUGUCUGGAUUUAAAAAAAAAACAUCAACUUUUCUGAUUUCCAUAAUGGUAUGAAAAAACACGCAGGUCCUGAUACUGAACAGUGGAAGAAAAGUAGCAAAUACAUAGAUUAACAUAUUAUUACUCAGGCUUUUCUACUGCUUCGCAUCUAAAGAGCCCAAUGAACAAAAGUUCAGUUAAUGCUUCCUAUCACUAUAGCAUGCUUUGUUCUUCCUGGUAAAAGCUGACAAGCACUGGUAGUACAGUGGAAUGAGAUGUGAAGAAUACUACAGUGGCAUAUACAUAUACAAGCAGCAAUAGAUACUAUAUCCAUGAACACUAAUAAACACACGUGUAAAUCCUGAGAAGUUUUUUUUUUUUUAACCAAGCAGUGCAUUUCUACAAUGCUGUUUUUCUGCAUUGUCUGUAAAAUAAAGCAAUGAUGGUCUACAGCACUGUUUUCAGAGCUUUUUAAGAAAAAAAGAUUUAAAAAAAAAUCAAAUUAAAGGAAUGUUACUCUGCUGAGUACUUAUAUUCUUGCCACAAGCACGCACACACACACACACACAUUUCUAUUCCCUUUAUGAAAGGAGAGUAAGCAAGGCAACACUUACAUCAACGGACAGAUCCAGGAGCUGUGCCAUUCUCUUCAUUGUAAUUCUGGUAUAAUAUUUAGCCAUUAUUCUAAUAUUCUGGAAUAAAAGUGUUCAGAGUAGAGGGUUAUGUGCAAAAAAUAAUUGAGGCAGGCUGCAAAAAUAUAAAAGUCAAUAUUAAAAGCAGAUUAGGACCUAUAGUGCUCUAAUGGCAGUCCAGCAUAAAUUAUGUAAAUGAGUUGUGGACAGUUAUCGUGCUUGUGAAACAUAUAAUUAAUAGUCUCUGCGUGACAAAUUAUUAAGUAACAAAAUCAACUAAUUAUUAACUUAAGGCAAAGCAAGACAAGGUUUUACUCUACUGAAACGUGAAUGCUAAAUCCUUAAAAUAUGAGCACAAUAUGCUUUUUUUCCUGGCCAAGUGCGUAUCUAUACUAUGCACAUAUCAACAAUUGAAAAACAGAACAUAAUGGAAAAUGCAACUUAUCUGCUGCUUUCCUACAUGAAAAAUACCUCUGUAACAGAAGUAUGGCAAGCAAAAAGCAUUUUUAGUUCAGACAUAGCGUACAUAGCUAAUUUGUAAAGGAUGAGCCAUACUUACAUGUUCCACAACUCUGUUCUUUAAAUCUUUCCAUCUCUUUUCACCUUCCUCUGUACAGCCAAAAACAUCUGUUGCAGGACUGUCGAGGGACCCUUCUCUCAAUUCUUUCCCAUAUUCUUCAACUAGGGCAGUCCAUCGCAUCAACUCCAUGGUGGUAAAUAAUUUUAGGAGGUCUCUGCAAAUGAUUUACUAUGGGUGACUUACAAUCCUUUAUCAACAAGGCAUACUUUGUACUUAAAUAAAUCAGAUAAAUCACUUAAAAUGUUUUCAUUACCAUUAAUACUCAUUGUUCUUCGUAAGUAUAACCUCUAAUACUUCACACUACAUGGAUAGUUAAAGUCCAACUGUUUCUAAUGAAGUUUUCUCUUAUAAACAGUGAUAUUUCUUUUAACUUGUAACACACAAUCACUAAAGUUUUGCAGUAUUUUUCAUACAAUAAAUGCUGAUAUGUUUACAGGAGACUCAGCAUAAACAGAUUUCACCUACGCAGCUAGUGUAAGAGAUGCCUUUGGCCUGAGAAUUGCUUAUUAGAAAGAGCACUUACUUAUACUUCGGGAUUUCUUCUAGCUUUUUGUCACUACUAAUUCUGUGCACCAAAUCAGAUUGUUCGUUGUCAUAAGGUGAAAGAAUAACAUAAAGAACAACGCUCUUCAGUGCCUGUGAUAAGAAAGAGUGGGUUUUUUUUCCAUAACUAAACAGAAGCAUUGAAAACUACUUCACAGAGCUUAGAAUUUAACACAUAAAAUGGUUAUGUCAAACAUAUUAAGAAAGUAAGGUGAAAUUGAUGUUGCAGAAAUGAACCUCCCUUCAUAGCAAUACAUUUAAAUUGAUACAGGUUAACUAAAAUUCCAAAUUUCAAAGAUUUUUUUUUUUUACUUAAAUGUAUAACAUUCCCAUUUCAUAUACAACAGUAUAAGGACUUGCAGAGCUGUUUCUAAUUUGUGCACUUCCACAAAACCAAAAAGAUAUUCUCAAGAUUUUAAAGACAGUAAAAGAAAUUGGGUAUAAAUAUUCUUUUGACAUCAACUUUAUUACACCCAUUCUCAACUAACCAAUUUGUUAAUAUGAUCUGGUAUUUGAAAGUAACAAGAAUAGACUUAAGAGCAACUUAAUCUAUUGUAAAUUGAUCUGGUAAUGACAUGGCUGAAUAGGUAUUUGCCAUGUGAAAAUACAGACAUUUUGUUUGCUGUCUGGUUCUUUUGUUGUUGUUUUUACCUGCUGCCACUUUUCACUCUC